UUACGGCCACAUCACGUUGAAACACAUGUUCACGUACAAUCACCGAAGUUAAACAACGUCGAGCCUGGUUAGUACCUGUAUGGGUGACCACUUGGGAAUAUUACAUGUUGGC